rnacentral:rRNA from 1 species
UACGGAGGGUGCAAGCGUUAUCCGGAUUCACUGGGUUUAAAGGGUGCGUAGGUGGGCAGGUAAGUCAGUGGUGAAAUCUCCGGGCUCAACCCGGAAACUGCCAUUGAUACUAUCUGUCUUGAAUAUCGUGGAGGUAAGCGGAAUAUGUCAUGUAGCGGUGAAAUGCUUAGAUAUGACAUAGAACACCAAUUGCGAAGGCAGCUUACUACCCGAAUAUUGACACUGAGGCACGAAAGCGUGGGGAUCAAACAGG